CUACGGGGCGCUCCAGGCGCGAAACCUUUACAAUGCACGCAAGUGUGAUAAGGGGAUCCCAAGUGCUAUACUUUUAGUAUGGCUUUUGCCAAGAGUAAAUAUCUUGGCGAAUAAGUGGUGGGUAAGACUUGUGCCAGCCGCCGCGGUAACACCAGCGCCACAAGUGGCAAUCGCUUUUAUUGGGCCUAAAGCGUCCGUAGCCGGUUUAGCAAAUUUCCUGUGAAAUCGUUAUACUCAAUGUAACGACGUGCAGGAAACACUACUAAACUAGGGACCGGGAGGCGUCAGAGGUAUUCUGGAGGGAGCGGUAAAAUGCUAUAAUCUCCAGAGGACCCCCUGUGGCGAAGGCGUCUGACGAGAACGGAUCCGACGGUGAGGGACGAAAGCCAGGGGAGCGAACCGGAUUAGAUACCCGUGUAGUC
rnacentral:rRNA from 1 species